rnacentral:tRNA from 1 species
UUUUCUGUGGCUCAGUUGGUAGAGCAUUGCACUAACAAUGCAAAGGAUGUGGGUUCAAAUCCCAGGGAAAAC